rnacentral:rRNA from 1 species
GAGUUUGAUCAUGGCUCAGAUUGAACGCUGGCGGCAGGCCUAACACAUGCAAGUCGAGCGGUAGAGAGAAGCUUGCUUCUCUUGAGAGCGGCGGACGGGUGAGUAAUGCCUAGGAAUCUGCCUGGUAGUGGGGGAUAACGCUCGGAAACGGACGCUAAUACCGCAUACGUCCUACGGGAGAAAGCAGGGGACCUUCGGGCCUUGCGCUAUCAGAUGAGCCUAGGUCGGAUUAGCUAGUUGGUGAGGUAAUGGCUCACCAAGGCGACGAUCCGUAACUGGUCUGAGAGGAUGAUCAGUCACACUGGAACUGAGACACGGUCCAGACUCCCACGGGAGGCAGCAGUGGGGAAUAUUGGACAAUGGGCGAAAGCCUGAUCCAGCCAUGCCGCGUGUGUGAAGAAGGUCUUCGGAUUGUAAAGCACUUUAAGUUGGGAGGAAGGGCAGUAAAUUAAUACUUUGCUGUUUUGACGUUACCGACAGAAUAAGCACCGGCUAACUCUGUGCCAG